GAAGUAUUCCCUCCGUCCCCAAAUUCUUGUCUUAGAUUUGUGUAAAUAUGAAUGUAUCUAGUCACGUUUUAGUAUUUAAAUACAUACAUUUCUAGACAAAACUAAGACAAGAAUUUUGGGACGGAGGGAGUAUGAC
rfam:Hordeum vulgare subsp. vulgare, WGS project CAJW01000000 data, contig: morex_contig_1698187